rnacentral:rRNA from 1 species
AUUGAACGCUGGCGGCAUGCCUUACACAUGCAAGUCGAACGGCAGCACGGGUGCUUGCACCUGGUGGCGAGUGGCGAACGGGUGAGUAAUACAUCGGAACAUGUCCUGUAGUGGGGGAUAGCCCGGCGAAAGCCGGAUUAAUACCGCAUACGAUCUACGGAUGAAAGCGGGGGACCUUCGGGCCUCGCGCUAUAGGGUUGGCCGAUGGCUGAUUAGCUAGUUGGUGGGGUAAAGGCCUACCAAGGCGACGAUCAGUAGCCGGUCGGAGAGGACGACCAGCAACGACGGAACUGAGAGACGCGUCAGACGCCGACGGGAUGCAGCAGGGGGGAAGGGUGGACAAGGGGCGCGAGCCUGACCCUGUCAUAGCGAGUGGGUGAAGAAGGCCUUCGGGUUGUAAAGGGGUGUUGUUGGGAAAGAAAAGAAGCAGCGUAAGACCAAGGGGGCAUGACGGUAACCAAAGAAUAAGCACCGGCUAACUUCGUG